rnacentral:lncRNA from 13 species
UUGUUUUGCAGAACAAUGUAGGCAGCUGGGCCAGGAUUGAAGAGUGACUCUAUUUGAUUCCAAAUCCUACCAUCUCUUCACUGCAACAUGACAGCCCUGCCCUGCCAAGAAGAUACCCAGUCGUGGGAUUGCUGGAUCAGUCUGGCUGCUGCGCUGUAGUGAGGCAAGGAUGAAUGGAAGCAGGAGACUGAGGAGGCAGCUGUGGUGAUCAGGUGAGACAUGCUGCAGGCUCGGAUCAAGGUGGUCCAGGGGGUGGGG